rnacentral:rRNA from 1 species
UACAGAGGUCUCAAGCGUUGUUCGGAUUCAUUGGGCGUAAAGGGUGCGUAGGCGGCGCGGUAAGUCGGGUGUGAAAUCUCGGAGCUUAACUCCGAAACUGCAUUCGAUACUGCCGUGCUUGAGGACUGGAGAGGAGACUGGAAUUUACGGUGUAGCGGUGAAAUGCGUAGAUAUCGUAAGGAAGACCAGUGGCGAAGGCGGGUCUCUGGACGACUCCUGACACUGAGGCACGAAAGCUGGGGGAGCAAACAGG